rnacentral:rRNA from 1 species
GACGAACGCUGGCGGCAUGCCUAAUACAUGCAAGUCGAACGCAGUGGGUACGGGUGAGUAACACGUGGGUAACCUCCCAUCAGAGGGGAUAACACUUGGAAACAGGUGCUAGAACGAUAUUGGUGGCUGGACCCUCUGUGCAUUAGCUAGUGGGUGUGGUAACGGCACACCAAGGCCACGAUGCAUAGCCGACCGGAGAGGGUGAUCGGCCACACUGGGACUGAGCCAAGGCCCAGACUCCUACGGGAGGCAGCAGUAGGGAAUCUUCGGCAAUGGACGAAAGUCUGACCGAGAAACGCCGCGUGAGUGAAGAAGGUUUUCGGAUCGUAAAACUCUGUUGUUAGAGAAGCGGUAUCUAACCAGAAAGCCACGGCUAACUACGUGCCAGCAGCCGCGGUAAUAC